ACGGGUGAGUAAUACAUCGGAACGUGCCCUGUAGUGGGGGAUAACUAGUCGAAAGAUUAGCUAAUACCGCAUACGACCUGAGGGUGAAAGUGGGGGACCGCAAGGCCUCAUGCUAUAGGAGCGGCCGAUGUCUGAUUAGCUAGUUGGUGGGGUAAAGGCCCACCAAGGCGACGAUCAGUAGCUGGUCUGAGAGGACGAUCAGCCACACUGGGACUGAGACACGGCCCAGACUCCUACGGGAGGCAGCAGUGGGGAAUUUUGGACAAUGGGGGCAACCCUGAUCCAGCAAUGCCGCGUGUGUGAAGAAGGCCUUCGGGUUGUAAAGUACUUUUGUCCGGAAAGAAAUCGCACUUACUAAUAUUAGGUGUGGAUGACGGUACCGGAAGAAUAAGGACCGGCUAACUACGUGCCAACAGCCGCGGUAAUACGUAGGGUCCAAGCGUUAAUCGGAAUUACUGGGCGUAAAGCGUGCGCAGGCGGUUGUGCAAGACCGAUGUGAAAUCCCCGGGCUUAACCUGGGAAUUGCAUUGGUGACUGCACGGCUAGAGUGUGUCAGAGGGGGGUAGAAUUCCACGU
rnacentral:rRNA from 1 species